rnacentral:rRNA from 1 species
AGUGAACGCUGGCGGUAGGCCUAACACAUGCAAGUCGAACGGCAGCACAGUAAGAGCUUGCUCUUACGGGUGGCGAGUGGCGGACGGGUGAGGAAUACAUCGGAAUCUACUUUUUCGUGGGGGAUAACGUAGGGAAAGUUACGCUAAUACCGCAUACGACCUACGGGUGAAAGCAGGGGAUCUUCGGACCUUGCGCGAUUGAAUGAGACGAUGUCGGAUUAGCUAGUUGGCGGGGUAAAGGCCCACCAAGGCGACGAUCCGUAGCUGGUCUGAGAGGAUGAUCAGCCACACUGGAACUGAGACACGGUCCAGACUCCUACGGGAGGCAGCAGUGGGGAAUAUUGGACAAUGGGCGCAAGCCUGAUCCAGCCAUACCGCGUGGGUGAAGAAGGCCUUCGGGUUGUAAAGCCCUUUUGUUGGGAAAGAAAAGCAGCAGGUUAAUACCCCGCUGUUCUGACGGUACCCAAAGAAUAAGCACCGGCUAACUUCGUG